AAACCGUCUUCUAAGUUUUGCAACUGUAACAGUUUUGCCUCCCCAAGACAAAACAAAAUAAAUAAAUAAAUAAUAACAUGUGACACCUCACUUAGGGUGUCACAUCAGCGUAGAUCAAGUCAAAAUUGACCUUGGGGGCCAGAACUGUCACAUGUGCAAAACUUAAGGGACGGUUU
rnacentral:pre_miRNA from 1 species